rnacentral:lncRNA from 1 species
CACAAAAACAGACAGAUUAAUUCAACCGCUCAGACAGUCCAGGAACAGGCACUGUGACACACUCUCAUACCAAAUUCCAUCCUGCCAAACACAAAUAAGACAAUGUUCAAUCAUUUUUCCCACGCACAAUUAAAAUCUGGAACAGCCUUCCCCCGAGUAUUGUGAUGAGCGACUCUAUAGAGUCGUUCAAAGUAGCCGUCUCAAACUACACCUACAGCCCGUAAAUUCAUCAUGUGUAAAUAGUUUUAUCUUAAUAUUUAAAAAUAAUAAAUUAAAAAUAUGCAC